rnacentral:rRNA from 1 species
ACACAUGCAAGUCGAACGGUAACAGGUCUUCGGACGCUGACGAGUGGCGAACGGGUGAGUAGUACAUCGGAACGUGCCCAGUCGUGGGGGAUAACUACUCGAAAGAGUAGCUAAUACCGCAUACGAUCUGAGGAUGAAAGCGGGGGACCUUCGGGCCUCGCGCGAUUGGAGCGGCCGAUGGCAGAUUAGGUAGUUGGUGGGAUAAAAGCUUACCAAGCCGACGAUCUGUAGCUGGUCUGAGAGGACGACCAGCCACACUGGGACUGAGACACGGCCCAGACUCCUACGGGAGGCAGCAGUGGGGAAUUUUGGACAAUGGGCGAAAGCCUGAUCCAGCAAUGCCGCGUGCAGGAUGAAGGCCUUCGGGUUGUAAACUGCUUUUGUACGGAACGAAAAAGCUUCUCCUAAUACGAGAGGCCCAUGACGGUACCGUAAGAAUAAGCACCGGCUAACUACGUGCCAGCAGCCGCGGUAAUACGUAGGGUGCGAGCGUUAAUCGGAAUUACUGGGCGUAAAGCGUGCGCAGGCGGUUAUGUAAGACAGAUGUGAAAUCCCCGGGCUCAACCUGGGAACUGCAUUUGUGACUGCAUGGCUAGAGUACGGUAGAGGGGGAUGGAAUUCCGCGUGUAGCAGUGAAAUGCG